GCCCGCAUAGCUCAGUUGGUAGAGCAUCAGACUUUUAAUCUGAGGGUUGUGGGUUCGAGUCCCCCUGUGGGCG
rnacentral:tRNA from 1 species